GAGACCUCAGGUCAGGCGGGGCUACCCGCUGAAU
rnacentral:rRNA from 1 species